AGGACAAUGCAGGGUCCAGUAAGGAGAGCUUGGAUUCACAGCAAAAACACUGUGUCUGCCUAGGUUUAGGCUGUUUUCUGGAAUGGACACUACCUAAAAUUCAACAUGUAUGCUUAAUAACCAUGGCAGUUCUGAAGGGAGCAGAAUCCAUUACAGGGGGAAGGAUUUAAAACCAGAAAAGAAAUGCUGAAAAUAGAGCAAGACUAAUGUCAAAGUAGCUUUCUAUAAACAUGGAACACAAAAGAUCUACUACCACAACCAUGAAGAAAAACAAGUAAACAGGUACUCUGUUCCUGAAAACACCAGAGCCCAAACGAGGAGAUAUGAAUCUCAGGCAUUUCUUGAUUCUGAAGAAGUAUAAUCCCAAAGAAUGUAGGCUUAAACCAAUCCCUCACCCUGAAAAAAAUCCAGGUCCAAAAAAAGAGAUGUAGGCCAGGGCUAGUUCCUCACCUUAAAGCACCCAGGGCCCAAAUGAAGAGGAAUGUGUGCCUAGGCCAUUCCCUGAUCCUGAAGAGGCUCUGGCCCAAAGCAAGUUAUGAUAUGGGCCUGGGCCUAUUCCUAAAUCUGAAGAGGCCUAGGCCCAAAGAAGAAGAAAUGUGGGCCUGAGCCAAUCCCUGACCCUGAAUAA
ensembl:lincRNA Gm35386 predicted gene, 35386